rnacentral:lncRNA from 1 species
CGAGUAAAUUCUGCACAAACUUAGGACAGGCGAUGUUCUGUAGGCACCGCUCGCCAAUCGUAGGCCAAGAUUGUGAAUUGGAUCAAGUCGUUUAAUGUAGGAUUGCCUGGCUGCACCAUAAACUACACUACCGUAGUCGA